GCUGAAUGUUGGUGUGACCCAGAGUGGGUGUCCCUGCCCUCGGGACAGUCCCCAGAGCUGCCUUUGGCAUCCCCUGCUGAAGGGUGGGAGCUGCCCAGAGCCAGCAGCAUCCAGCUGGAGGAUGCAGGAGGAUGCAGCUCCUGUUGUCUGGGAGUUGAAAACUGAAGUGAUUGUCGAGGUGUUGGCACUUGUUUUCCUGUGUCUUUGGUGAGGUGUUGACUCAGUACCUUUCUUGGAGCUGCUGUUGGAUGAAGAGGUGCCCCCAGUUCACCUGGAAGGUCCUGGUUUUCUUCCCUGCUUUUCCCAGCUUGUCCAGGAGAUGGAAUUCCAGUGCUACCGAACAGAUGGCUUGUGGUGCUUCCAAAAGGAGCCUUUGUGCCUUCAGGGAGAAAAUGGGGCAAGCGGGAAGGAAGAAGAGAAGCCCCGUGACUCCUCCCUGAGCCCCAGCCAGCCCCUGAACUGCCUUCCUGGGAAUGGUGGGACGGGCUGGACUCUGGAUUGCUCCCUCUGGAUGUGUGGUAAGACUGUUAUGGCAACUUUUCCAAGAG